rnacentral:rRNA from 1 species
AUUGAACGCUGGCGGCAGGCCUAACACAUGCAAGUCGAGCGGAUGAAGGGAGCUUGCUCCUGGAUUCAGCGGCGGACGGGUGAGUAAUGCCUAGGAAUCUGCCUGGUAGUGGAGGAUAACGUCCGGAAACGGGCGCUAAUACCGCAUACGUCCUGAGGGAGAAAGUGGGGGAUCUUCGGACCUCACGCUAUCAGAUGAGCCUAGGUCGGAUUAGCUAGUUGGUGGGGUAAAGGCCUACCAAGGCGACGAUCCGUAACUGGUCUGAGAGGAUGAUCAGUCAACCUGGACGUGGGACACGGUCCAACCCCCUACGGGAGCAGGCAGGGGGGAUUUUGGGACAAUGGCGGAAGGCUUGAUCAAGCCAGGCCGGGGUGUUGAAAAAGUCUUCCGAUUUGAAAGGACUUUUAGGUGGGGGGAAGGGCAGGAAGGUAAAAACUUUGCUGUUUGACGUUACCAACAGAAUAAGCACCGGCUAACUUCGUG